GUUAUUGGUCCCGGAAGUUAGCUUUCUAGCUAGCUUUGUUUACAUUAUCAUUCUGCUUGAGCUACUGCCGUUUUCUGCUGCGUUUUCUGGUGAUGACAUUUUGGGAUCUUUUCAUGACAUGCAGAUUUGUAGUGGUGAUGAAAUAUAAGGCUCUGAUCAUAAUGAGAAUAAAUGAAAUAUCCGAUCCUGAUCGGACAAAGGAGUCCGAUUCCGAUCGAGUCCCAAACCACAUGAUCGGCCCCGAUUUCCGAUCACGUGAUCGGAUCGGGACAUCCCUAGUGUUGAUGGGGAUAUUCCCUCCAAGCAUCACACCAGCAGAAUGCUAAACAUUAAACGGCUGGAGCAGAAAUCGAUAUAAGAAAUAAUGAUCUGCGAAAAGAAUCAAAUAUAUGGGAUGAAUGGUUUCAGAUUGCUACGACAAAUGACAAAUAACUGUUUUCACUGUCAUUCUGCACCUUUGUGUUUGUCAUCUUAAAAAUGUGAGUUUGCCUUGAAGCAGAACUUUAAAAUUGCCUUUUCAAAGUAAAAGCGUUACGUUUCCGUGCAGGACUUUGGUCUGGACGUGGAGGCCUUUCAGCGCAUGGUGGAGGACUGCCCCCCUCGACUUCCUGGAGCUGGCCAUUUCUUGCUGUAAUAUGAAUGCAAAACUCCGUCCGUCUUUUGCCCAAAUCGUAGUGGAGCUGGAGAAGAUACAAGCUGAGAGGAAGCAGAAAGAUGAACCACCUGUUAAAUCCUGUCUCCGGCCAUCGACUACAGUCGGAGGAGAUCCCUUCA